rnacentral:rRNA from 1 species
GCAGCACGGGAGCUUGCUCCUGGUGGCGAGUGGCGAACGGGUGAGUAAUGCGUCGGAACGUACCGAGUAAUGGGGGAUAACGCACCGAAAGGUGUGCUAAUACCGCAUACGCCCUCCGGGGGAAAGCAGGGGAUCGCAAGACCUUGCGUUAUUCGAGCGGCCGACGUCUGAUUAGCUAGUUGGUGGGGUAAAGGCCUACCAAGGCGACGAUCAGUAGCGGGUCUGAGAGGAUGAUCCGCCACACUGGAACUGAGACACGGUCCAGACUCCUACGGGAGGCAGCAGUGGGGAAUUUUGGACAAUGGGGGCAACCCUGAUCCAGCCAUUCCGCGUGAGUGAAGAAGGCCUUCGGGUUGUAAAGCUCUUUCAGCUGGAACGAAACGGUACGCUCUAACAUAGCGUGCUAAUGACGGUACCAGCAGAAGAAGCACCGGCUAACUACGUGCCAGCAGCCGCGGUAAUACGUAGGGUGCGAGCGUUAAUCGGAAUUACUGGGCGUAAAGCGUGCGCAGGCGGUUCCAUAAGACAGAUGUGAAAUCCCCGGGCUUAACCUGGGAACUGCGUUUGUGACUGUGGGACUCGAGUGUGGCAGA